rnacentral:rRNA from 1 species
CCCUAUGUGGCGUGGGGGCUGGAGAAUUGAGGGGGGCUGCUCCUAGUACGAGAGGACCGGAGUGGACGCAUCACUGGUGUUCGGGUUGUCAUGCCAAUGGCACUGCCCGGUAGCUAAAUGCGGAAGAGAUAAGUGCUGAAAGCAUCUAAGCACGAAACUUGCCCCGAGAUGAGUUCUCCCUGAGACUUUAAGUCUCCUGAAGGAACGUUAAAGACGAUGACGUUGAUAGGCCGGGUGUGUAAGCGCAGCGAUGCGUUGAGCUAACCGGUACUAAUGAACCGUGAGGCUUAACCUUACAACGCCGAAG